rnacentral:rRNA from 1 species
GCGACAGGCUUAACACAUGCAAGUCGAGGAGCAGCACAGGUAGCAAUACCGGGUGGCGACCGGCGCACGGGUGAGUAACGCGUAUGCAACUUGCCUAUCAGAGGGGGAUAACCCGGCGAAAGUCGGACUAAUACCGCAUGAAGCAGGGAUCCCGCAUGGGAAUAUUUGCUAAAGAUUCAUCGCUGAUAGAUAGGCAUGCGUUCCAUUAGGCAGUUGGCGGGGUAACGGCCCACCAAACCGACGAUGGAUAGGAGUUCUGAGAGGAAGGUCCCCCACAUUGGUACUGAGACACGGACCAAACUCCUACGGGAGGCAGCAGUGAGGAAUAUUGGUCAAUGGCCGAGAGGCUGAACCAGCCAAGUCGCGUGAGGGAUGAAGGUUCUAUGGAUCGUAAACCUCUUUUAUAAGGGAAUAAAGUGCGGGACGUGUCCCGUUUUGUAUGUACCUUAUGAAUAAGGAUCGGCUAACUCCGUGCCAGCAGCCGCGGUAAUACGGAGGAUCCGAGCGUUAUCCGGAUUUAUUGGGUUUAAAGGGUGCGUAGGCGGCCUUUUAAGUCAGCGGUGAAAGUCUGUGGCUCAACCAUAGAAUUGCCGUUGAAACUGGGGGGCUUGAGUAUGUUUGAGGCAGGCGGAAUGCGUGGUGUAGCGGUGAAAUGCAUAGAUAUCACGCAGAACCCCGAUUGCGAAGGCAGCCUGCCAAGCCAUUACUGACGCUGAUGCACGAAAGCGUGGGGAUCAAACAGGAUUAGAUACCCUGGUAGUCCACGCAGUAAACGAUGAUCACUAGCUGUUUGCGAUACACUGUAAGCGGCACAGCGAAAGCGUUAAGUGAUCCACCUGGGGAGUACGCCGGCAACGGUGAAACUCAAAGGAAUUGACGGGGGCCCGCACAAGCGGAGGAACAUGUGGUUUAAUUCGAUGAUACGCGAGGAACCUUACCCGGGUUUGAACGCAUUCGGACCGAGGUGGAAACACCUUUUCUAGCAAUAGCCGUUUGCGAGGUGCUGCAUGGUUGUCGUCAGCUCGUGCCGUGAGGUGUCGGCUUAAGUGCCAUAACGAGCGCAACCCUUGCCACUAGUUACUAACAGGUAAAGCUGAGGACUCUGGUGGGACUGCCAGCGUAAGCUGCGAGGAAGGCGGGGAUGACGUCAAAUCAGCACGGCCCUUACAUCCGGGGCGACACACGUGUUACAAUGGCGUGGACAAAGGGAAGCCACCUGGCGACAGGGAGCGAAUCCCCAAACCACGUCUCAGUUCGGAUCGGAGUCUGCAACCCGACUCCGUGAAGCUGGAUUCGCUAGUAAUCGCGCAUCAGCCAUGGCGCGGUGAAUACGUUCCCGGGCCUUGUACACACCGCCCGUCAAGCCAUGGGAGCCGGGGGUACCUGAAGUCCGUAACCGCGAGGAUCGGCCUAGGGUAAAACUGGUGACUGGGG